rnacentral:rRNA from 1 species
ACGCCGUAAACGAUGAAUACUAGGUGUUGGGUGUUUCGAUGCAUCCAGUGCCGGAGUUAACACAAUAAGUAUUCCGCCUGGGGAGUACGGUCGCAAGACUGAAACUCAAAGGAAUUGACGGGGGCCCGCACAAGCGGUGGAGCAUGUGGUUUAAUUCGACGCAACGCGAAGAACCUUACCAAGACUUGACAUCCCGGUGACCGGAAAUGUAAUGUUUCCUUCUCUUCGGAGCAACGGUGACAGGUGGUGCAUGGUUGUCGUCAGCUCGUGUCGUGAGAUGUUGGGUUAAGUCCCGCAACGAGCGCAACCCUUGCCUUUAGUUGCCAUCAUUGAGUUGGGCACUCUAGAGGGACUGCCAGUGACAAACUGGAGGAAGGUGGGGAUGACGUCAAAUCAUCAUGCCCCUUAUGUCUUGGGCUACACACGUGCUACAAUGGGCAGAACAAAGGGCAGCGAGACCGCGAGGUGGAGCAAAUCCCAAAAAACUGUUCUCAGUUCGGAUUGUAGGCUGCAACUCGCCUACAUGAAGUCGGAAUCGCUAGUAAUCGCGGGUCAGCAUACCGCGGUGAAUACGUUCCCGGGCCUUGUACACACCGCCCGUCACACCACGAAAGUUGGUAACACCCGAAGCCGGUGGCCUGACCUGUUAGGAGGGAGCCGUCGAAGGUGGGACGAAUGAUUGGGGUG